AGGUCCUGCGUUCAAUCCCUGGUACAAAAAACAAAAAACAGAAUCAAUAUAAAUGGCCUAAAUUCUCUAGUUAAAAGACUGAGUCAUCUGUAUUCUUAUUAAAGGACAAAUACCAAAAGCAAAGUGACUUGAAUUUGUUGGAUAUUAAAAGACCAAAAGGAUAUGAAACAAAAAUCUCAAUAUAUUUAAUUAAUAUUAAGUAAACUGGAAUAUUUAAAUAGAUAGGCAAACAAAAUUUAAGGAAAGUAUCAAUACAUGUAAAAUUUAGUUAACUCAUUUCAAAACCCAUAUGUGCCUAACCAAAAUACAGUAUGUUUGCUGAAGUUUCAGUAUAUAUACCCCCAAAUUCAUGUGUUGGAAACAGCCCCCAAAUUAACUGUUGAGAGGUAGAACUUUUAAGAGGUACAGUAGAUAUGUGAGUUCUGCCCUUAUGAAUGGGUUGUACCAUUGUUACAUAAUGAGGUUUGUUUUCAUGAUUUGUUAUGAAAAUGAAUACAGUCUUCUCCCUCUUUUGAGCUCUCUUCCUCUUCAGCCUUCUACCAUGGAGUGAUACAGAAAGUGGCCUUCACCAGAUGCCAGCUGCUUUUUCUUGGAUUUUCCAGCUCCAGAACUUGCUGAAGAUCAGAACCCAGGGCCUCAAGUAUUCAAGGCAAAGCAAGCCAGCAAGCUCUACCCAAGCUACAUCCUCUGACCCCUAAAAAUUUAUCUUUUAAAGUGAUUUAAAUAAGAAAAGCAUUUUAUGUAUUAAUUGGUGUAAAAUAUGUGCUGUUUACAAUACAGUAUUCUUCAUUGUUUUGUGUAGUUUCUAUGAUGAGGCAUCCAGGAGCAGCUCAGCAACCCUCGUGAGGUUGCUGUCAGCCAGAGCCCAGCAUGAGGGUGCAUGCACACUUGUAAUCGCAGCACUCAGGAGGCUGAGGCAGGAGGGCCACAUGUUCAAGGCUGGCUUGGGCCAUGUAGCAAGAUCCUGUCUCAUACAGCAGCAGCAAUAACAAAAACGAUGUCAGCCAGACUUACAGUCUCUGAAGCCAUGCCUGCAGCUAGAGGAUUAACUCCAAGCACACUUAGGUGCAAUGAGGAAAAGAACUCCAAACCUGUUAGAUGUCAGAUGUGCCGAGUUUGUGUUAUCACAACAUCAAGGAAUAAAGUUGCAAACCAAAGGAGGAGGGGUUGAGAGAGUUAUUGGAAAGAACAGCUUCUGGAUUUCCAAGAGAAGUCCUGAGUUGGUGGCACUGAGGCUCUUUAUUAGGGGUAUUUUUUACAGUAGAAGCACAAUGUGGGUUCAACUACAGUUAACCUGUAAUAGGAUUACAAGUAUACUGGGAAGCAAAGCACAUAGCGAGGAUGCAUGAUAAGCAUCAUUCAUCAUUAACUUUAGCUUGUUAGAACUUCUCAUAGAACAAAGGGAUUCCUGGAAAGGGGUGGGGGAGUAUGGGUCCAGAUGUUCUGGUCUCCCACCUAAGCAUCUGAUACAUCUCUGGGCUCCCUGGACUAGGUGCUGCUGACUACAGUAUAAUCUGUAAAGCUGCUCUUUAUCUCUAGGGAGGCUUGUACGCCGAGAUAUUGUAUCCCCAUUCCAAGGGCUGCCUGGCUGUCUUCAGGUUGGCCUCCAGCCACAAUCCUGGUGUGUCUCGUCUUCUUUACUUACUCCCUCAAGGGCCCAAUCCUUCUCUGACUGCCUGUUAAUUUCUAUCUAAUUUAGCUCUCUAUAAUACAGGGAACUAUUGGCAUAAGGUUUCCGUUCUAGACACGUGGUCUCUUCUGGGUUAUUAACAUGGUUUCCACCAGAACAGGUGAGAAGAGACAAAGGGAAAGAGAGAAGCAGGGUAGAAGUGCAGUCUUUAUAAUUCUUGAAGAAAAUAUGUACCAUUUCUUGUCAAUUCUGCUGAUCCACCCUGGCACAUGGUGGGAAAGGGCAGCACAGUGAAUGCCAAAAGCAAGUACUGGGACCUAUCUUGUUUGCUGGCUUCCAGUCUACCCUCUAAUCCCCAGUGAUUUUCUGACAUGAAAACACAUUUCCUCCAUCCCAAGAAACACAGAAGCCUCCUGCUAUUAAGAUAUGAGCUCAAAAGUUCAGGAUUUUAUUAUGUACAUGAUUAAGUCUAUGGACAGAUGAGAGACUCCUAGGGUGUGAUCUUCCCUCUCCCCCAGUGCUGGGCAUUGAGCCCAGGGCCUGGCACAUGCUAGGUAAGAUCUCUACCCCCAAGCUACACCCCCAGCCCUAGGUACAGCUCACAAACACAACUCCUGACCUACAUGUCUAACAAGAGACAAGUUAGGGCCGCUCCCCAUAUCCAGCAUACUAUCAUGGGACAGACAAAAUUCCCACGGAUAUUCCUGUUCAGAGCUGUUCAAAAUAGAAGUCAUAUACAAGUUACUGAUUCACAAGUGAUUCUAAAAUCCAGUUAGGCAAGUGUUAGAAGCACUCAGUCCUAUUCCUGAGGAAAUGACUCCAUGACUUUCACCUUUGUCCUGGGAGGCCUUGGUUUCACCUUUGUAGUCAUUUUACAUGAAAGGUGGCACAACUUUACCGCAAAACAUUUUUCUUUAUUUCUCCCCAGUAAAAUUUUGGGGAAUCAAGAAAGUUUUUAACCUCUGGAAGAGUUCACGGUGACCAUGUUACUACUGAUGAAAUUAUUUCAUUUAUUUAGUUAAUUUUAGAAAUAAGAUCUUGCUGCCCAGUCUGGCCCUGAACUCCUGGGCUCAAUCUAUUUUCCUGCCUCAGUAGUCCCAAGUACCUAGCACUACAUUUGGGUGCCAUCACACCGAGCAGGUGAUGUAAUAUUUAUAGAACGUUUGAGUUGUCUGUGAAUCUUACUCUAUGCCAUUAACCUUGAUAUUUCUCAGGCCUAAACAAAGGAUUUUAUAGACAUGCCUUUACCCUCAUUUUUAAAUGACAUUUUCCUGAGAAUGCCCUGGAUUUGAGCUUUGCUGUGAAGCCAUUUGUCAAGUGGUGAGGCUGGCUGCUUUAGGUGAGCCCUGGUUCCUUUUUAACAAUCCUUUAGCUCAUCCCUCUCAUUUUACUGUAAGCACCAAGAAGAAAACAAGUGGCGUUUUCACUACUCUGGUUGGAAAUACAUUCUUAGCUACACCAAUUAAUUCAUUCUACAUAUUUUUCCACAUAAUUGUUGGUGUUUCUGAACUUCCUGCCACUGUUAGCCAGUAACAUUGUCCCCCAACUCCUCCCUCAAAACUAUCCAACACUUUCUUAUCCAGUUUCAAGGCACUUCAGGCUUCCACUAACACUUCUUUUCAAAGCUUAUUCCUGCCCCCCCUCAAAGUCCCUCUCACAUUUUAGAAUUGUGUUAUGGUAGCACCUCUGUAUGUUACUUAUUGCUGCAUUACAAAUGAGAUCAAGCCCUAGCUGCCCAAAACAUUUAGUCUCACAAAUCCUGAGGGCAGAGAAUCUGGGAGCAUCUUAGCCAGGUCGUUCUAAGGGUUCUCAAGAAGUUGAACUCAAGCUUGUUGACCUGAGUUGUAGUCUCUAUGCUAUUCGUGCUUAUUUCUGGGUACAGGAUUAUGGCAGAAUUUUUUUUAUAUAAGGUUUGGAAGAUCUUAUAUAAUUAAUAACUUCUAAUGUGGCGUAGUUCAGACAAAAAGUUAAAAGUUGAGACUACUUACUCAUAUUUUCACACAUGUAUUAAGCAUCUACUAUAUAGUAAGUACUUCUUCAGGGAAAAAAGCCAUAGCUUUUCCCCAAGAUCUUACUCGGGAAAAUAAGAAUAGUCACAAUAUGGUGUAAUAAACUCCACAGUAAAGUAUAAAGAAGUGUUAAAUGAAGGGUAACACACAGAGGAGUCAGGUGAGCAAAAAGAAAUGGGGUGAGCAUGGGGAAAAGGAGUGACUAUAAUAAAAUCAAUAGCCUUUUAUACUCAGUUUGAACAUGGUAAUUAUAGUGCAUGAGUAUACCAUUAUAGGUAUAUGAGCAAAAAAGGAAGUGAUGAGAUACUGUAAAAAAAUCUCACCAUUGUUUUAAUACUUUCGUAGUUUUCCACCUGGAACAUGGUAAAUGUUACAAUUAAUACAAGGUAAAAUUAUAU